rnacentral:rRNA from 1 species
UACGAAGGGGGCUAGCGUUGCUCGGAAUUACUGGGCGUAAAGCGUGCGUAGGUGGUUCGUUGUGUCUGUGGUGAAAGCCCCGGGCUUAACCUGGGAAUGGCCAUGGAAACUGGCGAGCUGGAGUCUGGCAGGAGGGGGUGGAAUUCCGCGUGUAGCAGUGAAAUGCGUAGAGAUGCGGAGGAACACCGAUGGCGAAGGCAGCCCCCUGGGCUAAGACUGACGCUGAGGCACGAAAGCGUGGGGAGCAAACAGG